rnacentral:sRNA from 1 species
AGACAUAGAUGAGUGUGCUAUUAACUCUUCAUUCUGCACCAACUCUAGUGAAAGCUGUCACAAUCUGAAUGGUUCAGCUGAAUGUAUUUGUAAAGUGGGUUACUAUAGACCAACAACUAGUGAUGCAUGUCAAGCCUGUGACUCAACUCACUAUGGACCCAACUGUGCACAUCAAUGCAGUUGUAUGGUGGCCAACACAGCUGAUUGUGAUGAUGUCAGUGGUAAAUGCACUUGUAAACCCAGCUGGACUGGACUCAAUUGUGACCAUCUUCUUGACCAAUGUACUAACAAAACAUUUUGUACAGCUGGCAAUGAAACCUGUUACAAUAUCUCUGGUACAGCCACAUGUGAUUGUAAAAUAGGUUUUCAUAGACCAGGAGUAUCUUGUGAAGGUUGUGAUAGCACCCAUUG